rnacentral:tRNA from 1 species
GACCCCGUAGCUCAGGCGGAUAGAGCGCGGGAUUCCUAAUCCCGAGGCCGCUGGUUCGAGUCCAGCCGGGGUCA